GCGGGCCAUGGUUGGGAGCUAAAAACUGAACAUUUGUGUUUUUAGUACAUUUUUCUGUUUUUUAUUGACAUCUGACGAUGGAAGGUUGUUUUUUUUUAACAACCUUGACUGGCUAUACAGCCCUUGCACGGUCAGCUCUGACAUUCCUUAGUUUAUUUUUCCUUUUAUAAUAGUGGUGAGGUCAAGUUCUUACAAAGAAGUUUAACAAGGAGUUUUUAUGGCUGUCUUGUGUCAAGUAUUUCAUUGGUGUUUGAAGCUUUAUGGUUGUUCUUUUUUCAUCCUAAAUAAAUUGAAUGCAACUUUCAAAUAUUAAGUGAGCUCUGUUGAAGAUGUUUACUGUCACUGUAGGAGUAAAUGCAAAUGGUGAAAGAAUGUACUGACCAGGUGAUGACCUUAGUUGUCAUUUUUGUUUCAUGAGAUUUUGGGGUUGCUGUCUUACUGAUGCUUGCACAUGGUCUUCUUUUAUUUAAGUUAAGUUAAGAAUUAUUGUAAAGGCCAAGUGUAGAUGGUGAUUUAUUUUUAUUUGGUACAGCUAUGGUACAAUAGCUGACACAUCAAAAAUAUCUGGUGAAACGUUUGGUACUAGUUCUACCUGCAUAAUAUCAUGACAUGUGAUUAUCAAAAUUAAUACAUCAUAAUCUAUUUAUAAAGUCAAUAAAUGGGAAAUGUGUCCAUUGGCACAGAUGAUGCCCCUGAUUGCAUAUAAUAUUAUAAAGGGGCAUAACUCAAGAACUGUAAAAGUGAUGAUACCUACAUUUGUACUUGAUUGGAGUUUUGUGGUAAUGAGCAUUGUGUAUAUGUUUCAUAACAUUAAGUUGUGGCCAACUAGAUAAGAGAACAGAAACGAAAAUUAAAGCAGUUUUUCCAUUUGUAAAGGGGCAUAGCUCUAGAAAGCUGAAAGUGAAUCCACCAAAAUUAAUUCAAAGGCUAUAGUUUGACCUAUAAUGGUUUACAUUUACAAAUUAUGACUUGGAUGGAGAGUUGUCUCAUGGCACUCAUACCACAUCAUCUGAUAUUUAUUGAUCUGUGUUUUGUGAAAAUGCAUUGUGUAUAAGUUUUAUAACAUUUGGUUGAAGCAAACUAAAGUUAGAAAAUGGAUAUGAAAAUUCAGCUAUUUUUCCAUUUAUAAAGGGACAUAAUUCUUGAAUGGUAAAAGUGACGCCACAAAAUUCACACUUGAUCCGUGUUUUAAGGUAAUGAUCAUUGUGUAUAAGUUUCAUAUUAUUUGGUUGAGGCAAACUAAAGUUAGAGAAUGGAAACCAAUUUUGGGAUGUAUGAACGGAUGUACAUACAUACAGAGGGACAGGGGUAAAACUUAAAUACUCCCUCAAAAAAUAUCUUCUGUCCAUUGAAAGCUUUCAAAAUAACUGUCAUGUCCUGUUUUGACUGGUCAUGUAGGAAGGACUAAAAUUUAAAAGAAGACAAUGGCAUUAUACAAAUGGCAUAACUGGCAAUAACUUGC
rnacentral:lncRNA from 1 species